UGGCGAACGGGUGAGUAAUACCUAGGAACAUGUCCAGUAGUGGGGGAUAACGCAGCGAAAGCUGUGCUAAUACCGCAUACGCCCUACGGGGGAAAGCGGGGGAUCUUCGGACCUCGCGUUAUUGGAGUGGCCUAGGCCUGAUUAGCUAGUUGGUGAGGUAAAGGCUCACCAAGGCGACGAUCAGUAGCUGGUCUGAGAGGAUGAUCAGCCACACUGGAACUGAGACACGGUCCAGACUCCUACGGGAGGCAGCAGUGGGGAAUUUUGGACAAUGGGGGAAACCCUGAUCCAGCCAUUCCGCGUGAGUGAAGAAGGCCUUCGGGUUGUAAAGCUCUUUCAGGAGGGAAGAAACGGUCUUGGAUAA
rnacentral:rRNA from 1 species